rnacentral:rRNA from 1 species
UACAGAGGGUGCAAGCGUUAAUCGGAAUUACUGGGCGUAAAGCGCGCGUAGGUGGUUUGUUAAGUUGAAUGUGAAAUCCCCGGGCUCAACCUGGGAACUGCAUCCAAAACUGGCAAGCUAGAGUAGGGCAGAGGGUGGUGGAAUUUCCUGUGUAGCGGUGAAAUGCGUAGAUAUAGGAAGGAACACCAGUGGCGAAGGCGACCACCUGGACUCAUACUGACACUGAGGUGCGAAAGCUAGGGGAGCGAAAGGG